UGCCCGGUGCUCGAAGGUUAAUUGAUGGGGUUAGCAUUAGCGAAGCUCUUGAUCGAAGCCCGAGUAAACGGCGGCCGUAACUAUAACGGUCCUAAGGUAGCGAAAUUCCUUGUCGGUUAAAUACCGACCUGCAUGAAUGGCGUAACGAGAUGGGAGCUGUCUCAAAGAGGGAUCCAGUGAAAUUGUAGUGGAGGUGAAAAUUCCUCCUACCCGCGGCAAGACGGAGAGACCCCGUGGACCUUUACUAUAGCUUGACACUGCUAUUUGGAUAAAGAUGUGCAGGAUAGGUGGGAGGCUUUGAGUAUAUGACGCCAGUUGUAUAUGAGCCAUUGUUGAGAUACCACUCUUCUUUAUUUGGGUAGCUAACUAGCCUAAGUUAUCCUUAGGUAGGACAAUGUCUGGUGGGUAGUUUGACUGGGGCGGUCGCCUCCCAAAUAAUAACGGAGGCUUACAAAGGUUGGCU
rnacentral:rRNA from 1 species